UGGGCGUAAAGCGAGCGCAGACGGUUACUUAAGCAGGAUGUGAAAUCCCCGGGCUCAACCUGGGAACUGCGUUCUGAACUGGGUGACUAGAGUGUGUCAGAGGGAGGUAGAAUUCCACGUGUAGCAGUGAAAUGCGUAGAGAUGUGGAGGAAUACCGAUGGCGAAGGCAGCCUCCUGGGAUAACACUGACGUUCAUGCUCGAAAGCGUGGGUAGCAAACAGGAUUAGAUACCCUGGUAGUCCACGCCCUAAACGAUGUCAAUUAGCUGUUGGGCAACUUGAUUGCUUAGUAGCGUAGCUAACGCGUGAAAUUGACCGCCUGGGGAGUACGGUCGCAAGAUUAAAACUCAAAGGAAUUGACGGGGACCCGCACAAGCGGUGGAUGAUGUGGAUUAAUUCGAUGCAACGCGAAGAACCUUACCUGGUCUUGACAUGUACGGAAUCCUCCAGAGAGGGAGGAGUGCCUUCGGGAGCCGUAACACAGGUGCUGCAUGGCUGUCGUCAGCUCGUGUCGUGAGAAG
rnacentral:rRNA from 1 species